AAACUGUUGUUCGCUUUAUCUACUUCAGAAAGAGGAAGCAGACAAAUAUAGUUGGCACUAGUUGCUAUAAAUACAGUAGUGUUGUUUGGAUUAAAUGUUUUAUAAAGUUAAAUAAAGGUGAAAUAAAAAACUAAACAUGGAUAUGAUUAAUGUAAAUGAAUUAGUUGUCCCACAUCCAACAAAUCUGACGGAAGAUAUUUCAUACAGAAAACAACAUUUAUUCAGACAUGCUUUAUAAAGCUACAUGUUAAACCGUGUCAAAAAUGUCUACGGGCGUAUAAACCUUAUCAGUACAAUUAUUAGUAAGAGCAUUUGUAUAAUGAAAUAUAUUACAUAACAAUAUUACAAACCUCAACAUACAUUUGCAACUCAGCUACAGCUAUAAGCCAGUUUGAGGGGAUAAAUCUAUUGUUUUUCUACAACGACGGACCAACCAACCACAAGGAGUGUGUGACAAGAUCAAUAACUUAAAUAUUAAGUAGUUCGUAAGAAAAUGUGUUAUGUGCAAUUUGAUAUUCAAAAUAACAAUAGAUGAAUUGACAGAGUAUCUACUGUUAGACCUAAUAGUACAACUUUAAACUUUAAAAAUAUAAAACAAAUCAUGUUUACAUAUUUGACUUCCUAAAGUCUUGGACAAGGCAUUAUCAUCCUUGCUGUGCAUUUGUAAAGGACAAAUGUUAGGUAGGAACCACAUUUGAGUUCACAUCAAAAUGGAUCAGAUCCUUCUGUUUCAAUUGGUCAAUACCCAAUACCCUCAAACCUAUGAAGCAGACAAAGGUUAAACCUAAUGCUAAGAUAAAAUAAGAAAAUACUUGACAAAGCAUUAAGAUUUCAUAGCCUUAAAAGCCCCUUUAAAACAAAAUGGAUGCCACUAACUGUCUAAUACCACGGUUCUUCAAUACCACCAAGCUUCUAAGUCUUAGUCUGUUUUAGCACAUAGCAACACCUAGGAGUGCAUUUCAGUGUGAUACAAAUGAUCUGGUCUCUGACUAAAGAGAUAUCUAAAGAAGAGAGGAGAUCAGUCAGGAAGUGGCUAGUUCCUGUGUGCCCUAUUUAUAAGCCAAGUGAACGGGGCUGCUUUCAAGAGCACAGGGUAGAUACAACACAACAUUACUGGGGCUAGGUGAGAGUAGAUACAACACAACAUUACUGGGGCUAGGUGAGAGUAGAUACAACACAACAUUACUGGGGCUAGGUGAGAGUAGAUACAACACAACAUUACUGGGGCUAGGUGAGAGUAGAUACAACACAACAUUACUGGGGCUAGGUGAGAGUAGAUACAACACAACAUUACUGGGGCUAGGUGAGAGUAGAUACAACACAACAUUACUGGGGCUAAGUGAGAGUAGGCAUCAUAGGUUCUGUACUCACUUUUACAGUAGCUCAGUAAUCAUACCGCCUACACUCUUAGAAAAAAGGGUUCCAAAAGGGUUCUUCGGCUGUCCCAUAGGAUAACUCUUUUUUAUUCCAGGUAGAACUCUUUGGGUUCUUCUGGGGAAGGGUUCUACAUGGAACCCAAUAGGGUUCUACCUGGAAUCAAAAGGGUUCUUUCUGGAACCAAAAAGGGUUAUUCAAAGUGUUCUAUUGGGACAGCCGAAGAACCCUUUUACGUUCUAGAUUUUUUUCUAAGAGUGUAGUUCCUGUGUUGCAAUGUGCAGUCUGAAACCUUUUGUGAAAUGUUGUAUAAACCUAGCCUGCAUAGGUAUUUGCCAAAACAGAGUUAAGGUCACAUUUGCUAUGCAUUUGGACCUGGUGAAAAGUUUGCACCUGUUUUUAUUGGAUGAAACACCAAAGCUAAAACAGCAAACUGUCUUCAUUUAUACUUGAUAAAUGAUUCACUUUCAGAACCUUUAUUCUUACCUUUUCAUUUAACCUUUUAUGUCCAAUUCCCUAUGGUAAACUUACUGUGCAAUCUUGAUACCUGAUGCAAAGUGCAAAUGUUGAAUAAAUGGGGUCCUUAGCUGUCAGAAGAAGGGAGGCUUGUAAAAUAGGUCUGGUGUCAAAUUUGAUGUACAUCCUGCCAUUGAGAUUUGGACUGGCAGAGUUUGUCUCAGACAUUUUAUAAAAGCCCUGAAUAUUCUUUUAACACUUGGAAAGUAGUUUUUCAAGACAAAUAACUUCUCGAGAAAAUUAUAUUUUCAUGAACUACAUAAACACAACCCACCUCAUACACGAUUACUUCAACUACAUAAACACAACCCACCUCAUACACGAUUACUUCAACUACAUAAACACAACCCACCUCAUACACGAUUACUUCAACUACAUAAACACAACCCACCUCAUACACGAUUACUUCAACUACAUAAACACAA
rnacentral:lncRNA from 1 species